AUGUUAUGAAAAUAAAGUCGCCGUGCCAGGGAAUGAACCAAAACCCCUGACGUCAGAAGCACAGUCACUCCAGAGCCGGUCCAGAGCUCCGGGUGGGCAGGGGCCAAGCCGACCCGCUCCUUUCGGGCCUGCAGGCUGUCACCUGCCGGCGAAGCCACGCCCUCGCUGCCCACGGGCACUCCCGUCAGUCCCGACAGCAAGACAGAGCCAGCUGGAUCCUAGCAGCUGCUUUGCCGAUCUCCACGGGACAGGCCAGCCCAGGUCAGUUUGGACCAGCUGAAUGUCAAGUGCGCAGAAGCCCUGUGUGCCUAGCGCCUGCCACACUGGACAGUGCAGUGAUCGUUGUCCUGGAGGGCGCCUAGCUCUGGCCUUUUAGGAUGUGAGUCACCACGUGUGGGGCGAGGUUCAUACAUCACACAAAAGAUGUCAAAUCAAGGAGGAAACAGAGAGAACAUGACUUCAGGGAUCUCUUCAUCUCCCGCGCUUCUCCUCAGGACAAGAAAUUCGGGAAAACCGGUGAGAGCAUGAUGUGAUCACCACUGCCAUCCCCCAUGAAGUGAAGCAGCUGAGAGCGUGAGGCCCUCGUAAGAGCCUGCCUGUGCUGUAUGGAUGCCUCGCCUCCAGAACUGUGAGCUAAAUAACCUCUUUUCUUUGUAAAGUGCCACGUCCAGCACAGCUCUUGAAAACUCCCAGGAGGAGGACCAUGAAGAAAUGAAGGCAAGAGCGGAAAUGCAGAAAGCUGAGGUCAGGUGCAGCCCUCUCUCUUGGAGAAAAGAAGCUGGUUCCAGUUUAUUUAUACAUGUGGCAGGUUGAUGUCAGGUGGAAACCCCUCUGCCUAACAAUUUGUUCACCUGGUUCUCCCGGGGCACUUUGUGUUCUCAGGGCUGGACCAACUUGUUCACAAGGCUCUCCUUGGGCACUCCGUGUUCUCGGGGCUGGCCUUGCUCUAGCCCUGCACGUGUGAUCAAUCUUCAGUUUCAGUUGCUCCCCAUAAUAAAGUUAGCCUAUGUCAGGUAUUUGAUUAUAGAAACAAAAUGCUGGUGAAUUCAGGGCCCUUGGAAAUGAAUGGAAAAAAUAAUAAAAAGAAAGGCCAGAAACCCAGAUUUUACCUGAUU